GGCGGAGUAGCUCAAUGGUAGAGCCAAGGGGCCUCCUAUGUUGCUGGUUCGAGUCCAGCCUCCGCCC
rnacentral:tRNA from 1 species